GACGAACGCUGGCGGCGUGCUUAAUACAUGCAAGUCGAACGGAAGGCCCUGCUUUUGUGGGGUGCUCGAGUGGCGAACGGGGGAGUAACACGUGAGUAACCUGCCCUUGACUUUGGGAUAACUUCAGGAAACUGGGGCUAAUACCGGAUAGGAGCUCCUGCUGCAUGGUGGGGGUUGGAAAGGUUCGGCGGUUGGGGAUGGACUCGCGGCUUAUCAGCUUGCUGGUGGGGUAGUGGCUUGCCAAGGCUUUGACGGGUAGCCGGCCUGAGAGGGUGACCGGCCACAUUGGGACUGAGAUACGGCCCAGACGCCUACGGGAGGCAACAGUGGGGAGUAUUGCACAAUGGGCGGAAGCCUGAUGCAGCAACGCCGCGUGCGGGAUGACGGCCUUCGGGUUGUAAACCGCUUUCGCCUGUGACGAAGCGUGAGUGACGGUAAUGGGUAAAGAAGCACCGGCUAACUACGUG
rnacentral:rRNA from 1 species